UACGUAGGGUGCGAGCGUUGUCCGGAAUUAUUGGGCGUAAAGAGCUCGUAGGCGGUUUGUUGCGUCGGCUGUGAAAUCCCGAGGCUCAACCUCGGGUCUGCAGUCGAUACGAGCAAACUAGAGUGUUGCAGGGGAGACUGGAAUUCCUGGUGUAGCGGUGAGAUGCGCAGAUAUCAGGAGGAACACCGGUGGCGAAGGCGGGUCUCUGGGCAACAACUGACGCUGAGGAGCGAAAGCGUGGGGAGCGAACAGG
rnacentral:rRNA from 1 species